AAUCUUAUAUAUAGUCGGGGAAACCAUAAAUGUAUACGAAUUAGCUUGGUACAACAACAUACAUAGUAAAUACAACUAACUAGUAUUGCAGGACGUAUGAUAAGAAUUACUCCCUUUGUUCCUAAAUAUAAGACAUUCUGGUAGUUCCAUUGAAUACAUGGUGAAAUAAUGAAACCUUUGUAAGCAUCUAAGAAAGGGCCACCACAUUCAGAAACAAAGAAGAAUUGGACAAACCUAGUGCAAAUGAUUAUUUCUUGUGGAGUGCAUGACAUUCAUGGGACGAAUGUUGACAAGGAUUAUAAUUAGUUGCAAAAUAAAUAAGGUCUAAAAGGAAAAUCUCAGAGUCGGGACAACAUAAUUAAUAGUAACAUCAUGUAUAUCAUGAAAGAAACAAAGUAUUAGAAAGAAAGUGAUAACUGAUCACCGGUUCAAAAAGUGAAUCAAGUGUUUCUAAAGGUGUGACCCAUAAAGAAAAGCUGCGAACCAACACAGAGUUUUUAAAUUACCAUGGAAGAUCGAUCUCAAAGGAGCCAUAUGUUUUGCAAUGAUGGAAGUGAAACAUCAACAAUACCUUGCAACACCUAAAAGGAAUCCUGCAAGUCAUCAUGCUCAUCAAACCUUGAGUAGCAAAAGUGUGAGUAAAAUAAGGAAAUGCACAAUUGAAAAUUGGUUGUGAGAAUCAUUGUUGACGUAACCUAAUUUUUGAUCUCACUUCUAAUUUUUUUAUACAAGGAGAUCGUAUCAUUGUGGUAGAUUUGCAAAAUUGCAUGGCAAAUACAAAAUAAGUAAUGUAGAAAUCUUAUGAGAUAUCGGUGUGAAACGAUAUAACAAUAUCCUCUGCACCUUUGAUGUGGAACCUCACUAAUACCUUGCGACACCUAGUGGGAAGAUGCAUGCAAAUCAUCAUGCUCUUCAAAUCCCGAGUAGUGGGGUAUUAUCAAAAGAAAAGCAUGGAAAAGCUAAUGCAAAAACUAUGACUCAUAAUUUGAUCCUUCUUGCAAAUAAUGUUCUCAUCUGAGCCUCCAUAUCAAUCAUGUCCAUCUACAACUUUGUAAUGAAUAGUCUUGUUUGAUGUUUCAACCAAAGGAUGUUCAACAAUAUGUUUACACUAUUUGGUUCAGCAAAUAAAUAAUGGAGAAAAUAAAGACAAAAUCUGCAUAUAAUAAUAAAAAAUACUAACAUCAUUGAGAUGAGACUGAUGCAAAGAAAUUGUUGCAUACUUCCUGCUCACUUGCCGACAUGCAAUCUCAUACAAGAAGCAUUGUACAUCACCCAUCAAGUGACAAAACAAAAAUUCAAAGACCUCAUUAUGAAUUAACAGGCGGGACUUACAAUCAACAUCUUAUUGUCCAAUUACAGUUUAAAAACAUCUUAUUGUCCAACUCAAGAUAGAAAAUCAAGUCCAAGAAACAACAUAUGUAUGCUCAUUUUCUUUGUUUAAGAAAUAAUACUUAUAUGCUUUCAAAACUAGAGAAGAGAUAUAUAGCCUACCACAGUUGUGAAUAUAGACAAUAU
rnacentral:lncRNA from 1 species